rnacentral:rRNA from 1 species
GAUGAACGCUAGCGACAGGCUUAACACAUGCAAGUCGAGGGGCAGCAUAGAAGUAGCAAUACUUUGGUGGCGACCGGCGCACGGGUGAGUAACGCGUAUGCAACCUACCUAUCAGAGGGGAAUAACCCGGCGAAAGUCGGACUAAUACCGCAUAAAACAGGGGCACCGCAUGGUGAUAUUUGUUAAAGAAAUUCGCUGAUAGAUGGGCAUGCGUUCCAUUAGGUAGUUGGUGAGGUAACGGCUCACCAAGCCGACGAUGGAUAGGGGAACUGAGAGGUUGGUCCCCCACACUGGUACUGAGACACGGACCAGACUCCUACGGGAGGCAGCAGUGAGGAAUAUUGGACAAUGGGCGCAAGCCUGAUCCAGCCAUGCCGACGUGCAGGAAGAAGCAUCUAUGGUGUGGUAAACUGCUUUUGGUACAGGAAGAAACUACUCCCUCGUGAGGGAGCUUGACGGUACUGUAAGAUAAGGAUCGGCUAACUCCGU